UACGUAGGGGGCAAGCGUUGUCCGGGAUCUUUGGGCGUAAAGCGCGGGUAGGCGGCUCGGUCAGUCCGCUCUGAAAGUCCAGGGCUCAACCCUGGGAUGCGGGUGGAUACUGCCGAGCUCGAGUCCGGAAGAGGCGAGUGGAAUUCCGGGUGUAGCGGUGGAAUGCGUAGAGAUCCGGAAGAACACCGGUGGCGAAGGCGGCCUGCUGGGCAGUGGCUGACACUGAGGCGCGACAGCGUGGGGAGCAAACAGG
rnacentral:rRNA from 1 species